UAUCUCUCCGUACGGGGAAGGAUGUGAAGCUUCGACUAAGGUUCGAUUCGAGCGAAAGCGAGAAAGCGUUGCCGCAGGCAACGACCCGAAGGGCGAAGCGCGCAGCGCUGAGUCAACCUUCCCCCACCACCA
rnacentral:sRNA from 11 species